UCGUAUUAAAAUAAACAGACACUCCUAUGCACGAUAAAUAUUUACAAGCAUCAAAAUACUGACUGUGCUGCCACACAUUGUCAACGAUAGAAGAAGCAGAGGAAUAUUUGCUCGCUGUGUUCCGCUACAAUGUGUUCUGGCACAACUUUAGCAACUUUGCGGAAUUCUUUGGACAAUGAUUUCGGGCAUUGCAUUUGUGUCCAACUGAUCGGCACCAUGGCUACACCUAUAAGAUAACGUGCUAUUAAAAUUAAACAAUCAGGAUGAAAAAUAUACUGAAUCUUUACCUUCAUCGCUAUGAGCUAUAACUACUCCUAAUUCAUUUUCUGCGGUACUCAAUUGAUAAUGACCCAAAGGAUACAACUCUCGCAAGAAUGAUGUCUCCAGGUCGAUAGCACUUGUACAUCUCUAUCUUGUCUUUGUCAAUAGUUCGAACAUCUUCUUUCCUUAAUAUCCCUCUGUAAGGUCUUGUCAGUACUAUGUCACCU